UACGUAGGGUCCGAGCGUUGUCCGGAAUUAUUGGGCGUAAAGGGCUCGUAGGCGGUUUGUUGCGUCGGGAGUGAAAACUUACAGCUUAACUGUGAGCGUGCUUCCGAUACGGGCAGACUUGAGGUAUUCAGGGGAGAACGGAAUUCCUGGUGUAGCGGUGAAAUGCGCAGAUAUCAGGAGGAACACCGAUGGCGAAGGCAGGUCACUGGGCCGCAACUGACGCUGAGACUCGAAAGCUAGGGAGCAAACAGG
rnacentral:rRNA from 1 species